GACGAACGCUGGCGGCGUGCUUAACACAUGCAAGUCGAACGGUGAAGCUCCAGCUUGCUGGGGUGGAUCAGUGGCGAACGGGUGAGUAACACGUGAGCAACCUGCCCCUGACUCUGGAAUAAGCGCUGGAAACGGCGGCUAAUACUGGAUACGAGAAGGGUCCGCAUGGGCACUUUCUGGAAAGUUUUUCGGUUGGGGAUGGGCUCGCGGCCUAUCAGCUUGUUGGUGAGGUAAUGGCUCACCAAGGCGACGACGGGUAGCCGGCCUGAGAGGGCGACCGGCCACACUGGGACUGAGACACGGCCCAGACUCCUACGGGAGGCAGCAGUGGGGAAUAUUGCACAAUGGGCGAAAGCCUGAUGCAGCGACGCCGCGUGAGGGAUGACGGCCUUCGGGUUGUAAACCUCUUUCAGCAGGGAAGAAGCGAAAGUGACGGUACCUGCAGAAGAAGCACCGGCUAACUACGUG
rnacentral:rRNA from 1 species